rnacentral:rRNA from 1 species
AACGAACGCUGGCGGCGUGCUAACACAUGCAAGUCGAACGCGAAAGGGACUUCGGUCCUGAGUAAAGUGGCGCACGGGUGAGUAACGCGUAGAUAACCUGUCUUCAUGUCUGGAAUAAUACGCCGAAAGGGGUACUAAUACCGGAUAUUCUUGCUUUUCAUAAGUUAUGCAAGCAAAGGUGGCCUCUGCAUAUGCUACUGCAUGAAGAGGGGUCUGCGUACCAUUAGCUAGUAGGUGGGGUAAUGGCCUACCUAGGCGACGAUGGUUAGCGGGUCUGAGAGGAUGAUCCGCCACACUGGCACUGGAACACGGGCCAGACUCCUACGGGAGGCAGCAGUGAGGAAUAUUGCGCAAUGGGGGAAACCCUGACGCAGCGACGCCGCGUGAGUGAAGGAAGGCCUUCGGGUCGUAAAGCUCUGUCAAGAGGAAAGAAGUGUACAAUGGCUAAUACCUGUUGUAUUUGACGGUACCUCUAAAGGAAGCACCGGCUAACUCCGUGCCAGCCGCAGC